AAUAGAGGCAGGUGCAACAUCACAAAGGCCUGCUGUGACCAUGAAAAACCAAAAAGAUGUCAACUGUACCCCACAAAAAAAAAGACAGGAAAACAAGAUAUACAUGCUAUCAGUGUAAGUGAGGCUUGUGUAUGAAAUAGGCAGUUUUCAUGUGUGAAGACUUCCAUGAGUAUGACAACUGAAGCAAAGAUUAUUUCUAUGGGCCAGGAAUGGAGCUUGGCACAAAGUAAGCACACAGUAAAUACUGGAGUGGCCAAAUGAGGAAAGGUUGGAAGGAAUGAAGGAAGGAAAGGAGGCAGCAGGAAUGAAUGAAGCAUGGCCGCCCUUCCUGAUCCUCCCUUCAUUUGAUGGAUGAAGAAGGCAAGAAAAUAUCUUGCAAGUGUCCACUCUGAGAUGCUAGACAAACACAACUCCCGUUAUCAAGGGGCUUUCUGCUUCUCCCAAAAUACCAGUCCAAAUGCCACACCAAGGAGCAUGUAAAAAGAAUAUUUUUGCAGAACCUAUGCUUAACACAGAUUGAUUCAAGGAUCAAAGCUGAUGCCAUUGAUUUUGAGCUCACACAAAGUGCUCUCCACUCAGAUUUAAGCUCUCCCUACACACAGACCCCGACAUGGUCCACGGUAAUCCAGUCAACAACCACCCAGGGAUUGUUAUUACAGGGGGCAAUGCCCUGGGCUGAAGGGGGCUCAGUCUCCAGGUUCACAGAGCUCCUUCCAGGGGAGGAUCUCUAGGGUAGGAAAGGUAAACACACAAAUGAAUAAAUGAUAUAUAAUUCACAUAGCAAGUACAAGGAAGGUAAGGAAUGACCAUUCUCACAGCUUCAGUACAGCCCCCAAGUAGUAUGUUCCUUCUUACCAUAGCAAUAUAAUAAGCCC
ensembl:lncRNA